UACGUAGGGUGCGAGCGUUGUCCGGAAUUACUGGGCGUAAAGAGCUUGUAGGCGGUUCGUCGCGUCGAUUGUGAAAUCUCACGGCUCAACCGUGCGCUUGCAGUCGAUACGGGCGGACUAGAGUACUGCAGGGGAGACUGGAAUUCCUGGUGUAGCGGUGAAAUGCGCAGAUAUCAGGAGGAACACCGGUGGCGAAGGCGGGUCUCUGGGCAGUAACUGACGCUGAGAAGCGAAAGCGUGGGUAGCGAACAGG
rnacentral:rRNA from 1 species